AUGGCUCCCUCCCUCGCCGUCUUUCACCCCGCCGGCCAGCUCCCUUCUCCCCGCCGUCCACGAAACCACGCAUGCCCGCGCACCUCCCUGAAGCUCCUCUAUCUCCCGGCUUCCGCGUCGCCCCGCCGCCCCCGCGGGUUCGCCGCCGAGUCCGCAGCCGUCGGCGGCGGCGGCGGCGGCAGGAGGAGGGGAGGGGCCGUCGAUGUCGUCGCGGUCGCCGCGGCGCUGCGCGACGCGAAGACGGCCGAGGAUGUGAAGCUCUCGGUGGAGGACUUCCUCGGCGGCGGCGACGAGCACCUGCCCCUCCAGGUAUACACCUCGGUGAUUCGGGGGCUCGGCAAGGAGAAGCGCCUCGACGCCGCCUUCGCCGUCGUGGAGCAUCUCAAAGGAAGGGGAGACGGCAGCAGCCUCAACCAGUUCGUGUACAACUGCCUGCUAGGCGCGGUGAAGAACUCCGGGGAAUUCGGGAGGAUCCAGGAUGUUCUCGCGGACAUGGAGGCGCAGGGGAUCUCCCCGAACAUAGUGACCUUCAACACCCUGAUGUCCGUCUACGUCGAGCAAGGCAAGGUCGAGGAGGUGUUCAGGGUGUACGACGACAUCGAGGGCCGCGGGCUGGUGCCGACCGCCGCGACGUACUCGACGGUCAUGUCGGCGUACAAGAGCGCCGGGGACGGGUUCGCCGCGCUCAAAUUCUUCGUCAAGCUCAGGGAGAGGCACAAGAACGGCGAUCUCGUGGGGAACCCGGCGGAUUGGGAGCAAGACUUUGUCAAGUAUGAGAAGCUGGCCAUCCGGGUAUGUCACAUGGCGAUGCGGCGGUCACUGGCAAGUGCGGGCAACCCAGCCGGUGCGGCAUUGAAGGUGCUUCUCGCCAUGGACGAAGCAGGGGUGAGGCCGGACAGGAGCUACUACGAGCGCCUCGUGUGGGCCUGCACGGGGGAGGAGCACUACACCAUUGCCAAGGAGCUGUACCAGAGGAUCCGCGAGCGCGACGACGGGGAGAUGAUAAGCUUGUCAGUGUGCAACCACCUGAUCUGGCUCAUGGGCAGGGCCAAGAAGUGGUGGGCGGCUCUGGAGAUCUACGAGGACCUGCUGGAGAAAGGCCCGAGGCCGAACAAUCUGUCACACGAGCUCAUCAGGUCCCAUUUCAACGUCCUGCUCAGCGCCGCCAAGAGGAGGGGCAUCUGGAGGUGGGCUCUGAGGCUGCUCGAGAAGAUGCAGGAGAAGGGCCUGGAGCCCGGAGGCCGGGAGUGGAACGCCGUGCUCCUCGCCUGCUCCAGAGCGGCCGAAUCGUCCGCCGCAGUGGACACAUUCAAGAAGAUGAUAGAGCGGGGGCUGAAACCCGACGUGGUCUCCUAUGGAGCAUUGCUCAGCGCGCUCGAGAAGGGCAGGCUGUACGACGAGGCGCUGAGGGUGUGGGAGCACAUGCGCAAGGUCGGCGUCGACCCGAACCUGCACGCGUACACGAUCCUGGCGUCCAUUUACGCCGGCAAGGGCGACCAUGAUAAGGCGGACGCAGUUCUUCGGGACAUGGUGUCCGCGAAGAUAGAGCCGACCGUCGUGACCUUCAACGCGAUCAUCACCGCUUGCACGAGGAGCGGCGCGGCGUUCGAGUGGUUCCACAGGAUGAAGAUGCACAAGGUUGAGCCGAGUGAGGUCACAUAUCAGGUGUUGAUCGAAGCCCUUGUGCAGGAUGGUAAGCCCAAGCUUGCCUAUGAGAUGUACAUCAGGGCCUCCAACCAAGGGCUCAAGCUCUCUGCAAAGUCGUAUGACACCGUAGUGGAGGCGUGCCAAGAUUAUGGCUCUCCUGUUGAUCUCACUAGUCUGGGUCUUCGGCCUAUAAUGGAAGUGGAUCCGUCAAGAUAA
rnacentral:rRNA from 1 species